rnacentral:antisense_RNA from 1 species
UGUGGGAGCUGGCUUGCCUGCGAUGGCGGCGGGUCAGUUUCAUAGUAGGUGACUGACAGUCCGCUAUCGCAGGCAAGCCAGCUCCCACC